rnacentral:tRNA from 1 species
GCGGACAUAGCUCAGUUGGGAGAGCGUCAGACUGAAGUUAACUUCAAUCAUUUAAUCUGAAGGUCGUGUGUUCAAUCCACACUGGCCGCA